ACGCCCAUUAUUAGCGUUAGUUAUUUUUAACGUUAUCGCAUUAUUUUUUACCUGUGGUAUCAUUACUGCAGCGCCCUCUGGCGAGCCACUUAACUUUUGGUUGCCAAUUUUCAAAAUGGCUACAAUCCGCGCCUUCUAACUUCUCCGCACCCCGCAAUUUUGUUUUUGUUUAAACCGCUGACGUUAUUCAACCCCCUUGUGCCACAAACACACCUAUUGUACACACAACAACUCAAAAAUACAUCAUAACACUUCAAACAUUCGAAAAGUGGUGAGUGAUAAUUUUAGUUCCCGCGCGACCCCUUGGUAAGUGAUUUUACUUUUUGUAAACACUAUUUUCAGUAUUAUAUUCCCGCCUAGCCUACGCUCAACGGCCACCAGGGGAAGCUGGUGCCCGGCGUAGCUAUAGAAUUUGGUGCCUCCUGUGAGGAUUAGUCCUCAAAACAUUGUUUGUCGACCGCGUUUUCUCGUGUUACCCGCCAUUUUCUUGUUAGAAAAAAUUGGAAAUUAUUUUCUAUGUAUUUCAGCUUUCUUCGAAUUUAAACCUUAAUAAUCCGCCUUAUAACUACUAUUACUACUGUAAUUUACAUAUUUUUUGUGUGUGUAAAGCGGCAUAAUCGCAUAUUUUCUUAUAAUUUUGUCCACCGCAUUUUUCUUGUGUGUUGCGUCACUAUGGCGCCACCCACUGAGAAAGAUUUUCGCAAAAAAAUAUACAUUCUCGAAUCACGCCGCGAUGCUUAUUAUGCACGUAUGCAACGUAUUUAUGAUAGCCGUCCUUCUAUUUCAAAGGUAGAAUCUUGUGAUUUAUUUCUUUCACAAUGUGAAACAAUUGACGACAUCCGCAAGGAAUUUAUGGCCACCAUUAACGACAUAAAUUCACUGAAUAUGGAGUUAGAUCCCGAAUUCAUUCCUGAUUUUAAUUCAUGGAGUGGUUUUGAAGACAUUUAUUGUGCUAUUCGACAUACAAAAAAUGUAUUGAAUCGUAAUGUAAAACAAGACGAACAGCCUAGGUCGUGUUACGCGAAAUUACCUCCCAUCGAGAUACCUGAUUUCAAUGGGAACCCCGCACAAUGGAGUUUAUUCUAUGAAACCUUCAAAUCCACUGUUCAUUCCAACAUGUCGCUAUCGAAGUCUGAGAAGUUAUAUUACUUGUUGGGACGUUUGAAGGGACCCGCGCAGCUAGUAUUUUCCGGCAUAAGUCCCACCGCUGAUAACUACGAAUGCAUUUGGAACGCAUUAGUAACCAAAUAUCAAGACAAGCGUUUUUUAGCAAAUGUAUUUCUUGACAACAUUUUUGAUUCAAAGGCUUUGCCGAACCCCGCUACCGCGUCUCAGUUGGAAACGUUUAUAGAUAAGUUUGCCGCAUCUGUCGCCGCGCUAAAACAAUUAAAUAUUGUAGGCCUGAGCGAUUAUAUUUUUAUUUAUCUCGCUUUGAAACGUUUGGACCGUGACACCGCAAAAGCAUUUGAAAUGUUUGUUCGUGACACUGACAUACCUACUUAUGAUCAGUUUAUCGACUUCAUGAAGGGCCAAGUUAAGAUUAUACAACGCACUAACAACACGGCUACUUCGUCGAAAGUUGUUCAAAAGGAUGUUGUUAAACCAAAAAUGGUUUCCCCUCCUAAAAUUACGCAUACUUACAUUUCCGCGACUUCUCAUAAUAAUUCUGACUCUGUAUGUUCUUUGUGUAAUGCAAAUCACGAACACAUUUACAACUGUAAAGCAUUUCUUGACAUGUCCCCCGCAAACAGACAUACAUUUAUUAUGGAAAAUAAAUAUUGUACUAACUGUCUCAGUUCCAAACAUAAAUGGACCGCUUGUAAAAGCACGAGUUCUUGUCGCAAUUGUGGCUAUCGACAUCACACUUUAAUUCAUUUAUCUAAAACCGCUUAUGUAAACGAGGAUAGAAAGUUGUCCCGUACUCCUCUCGUAAAACCGCAGGUGGACAAACCGCAGCAAGUCUCAUCAACGCCGCAAGACGCCGAGUCACCCCACCACGCUGAUCGACAUGCAACGACGUCGUGUAUGCCGGUCUCUCUCCCGCAAAGACCUCAGCCGCAUAACCAUGUCUCUUCUCCCGCUCCCGCACACUCGGUGGACGUACCCAUCACAGGCAGUGUUUCUUAUCUGUCUGCUGAUAAUCCGCGCGCGAAUUUUAACUCGCAGAACCCGCCACUUAGUACAUCUGUUGUAUUAGGUACCGCUUGUGUUUACGUCCGCGAUCGUUAUGAUAAUCUCGUCCUAUGUCGUUGUAUUAUCGAUCCGGGCUCGCAAAACAACUUCAUUACCGCUUCUUGUUGUCGCAAAUUAGGGUUAAACAUUGAACAAUUAAACCGCAAAACUAUUAUUAAAGGUUUAGGUGACCAUUCGAGUACCGCUCGCGGAAAAACACAUUUAACUUUUCAUAGCCGCGUAAACGCUGAGCAAAGCUACUCGAUGGACACUCUAGUCCUCAAUACAAUCACCGAAAAGUUGCCAACCGUCCCGAUAAAUAUUUCAUCGUGUGACUAUUUAAAAACAAUACCGCUCGCUGAUGAUAACUUUUCUUCGCCCUCUGAUAUUGAGAUUCUUAUCGGUGCUAAACUGUUUGUUGACAUUCUAUUACCGGAUAAAAUAGUCGGACCGCCGUACUGUCCGUCCGCUUUUUCCACCACUCUCGGUUAUAUAGUGAUGGGCGAUGCUCAGGUUGAUACGGAACCCGUAAGUUCUGUUUCUUACUUCGCUACCGGCGAAUCUAUACAUGACGAUCUGGAAAAGUUCUUCAAGUUAGAGGACUUAAAAGAUAAACCCGUUUUAUCUCAUGACGAUCGAGAGUGUGAGUCAUUUUAUCAAUCGACAACCUUACGUGACGGCUCUGGACGUUUUACCGUAGGACUACCUUUUAAAGAGAACCCUAAUUUACUAGGCGAUUCAUUAAAAACCGCACGCAAUCGUUUUUUAUCUCUUGAACGCAAGUUUCAAAAAAACCCGCAUUUUAAAGCCAGAUAUGACGAGGUCAUACGCGAGUACCUAGACAAGGGUUAUUUACUAGAAAUACUCGAACCCAAAACCAAUAGUGAGGGUUUUGUUUUACCGCAUCACGGGGUACUUCGCGAAGAUAAAUCGUCUUCAAAACUUCGCAUUGUUUUGAACGCAAGUGAGAAAACCAGUUCCGGUACCUCACUCAAUGACAUUCUACAUACUGGCCCCGCAUUACAAUCGGAUUUGUUUAAUAUUUUAUUGAAUUUUAGACUGUUUGGUACCGCUGUAACCGCAGACAUUCGUCAAAUGUAUUUACAAAUACUUACCCGCGAGCAAGAUCAACCUUAUCAACAAAUCAUUUACCGUUUCGACCCCCGCGAACCUCUACGUUUCUUCGCUUUUAACCGCGUUUGUUUUGGACUCCGCUCGAGUCCUUUCUUAGCUAUCCGCACCAUUCAUGAGCUCGCUCAUCAAGAGAAAGAAAGGUUUCCUCUCGCAGCGACUCUCGCGUUCCGCGACUUAUAUAUUGAUGACAUAGCUAGCUCGUUCGCUACAACGGACGAAGCAGUUACCGCCGCGCAACAGCUGAUUGAUAUGUUCAGCGCCGGUUGUUUUGAAAUGGUUAAAUGGUCGAGUAAUGCCCGCGACGUUUUAUCCGCCGUUCCUGAAUCGCACCGCUUAACAGACCCUGUCGAUCUCGAUAAGGAUGAAUCUUUGAAAAUAUUAGGAAUGCAAUGGUUUCCCGCGAGUGAUUUAUUCAAGUUCACGAUCACUCCGUCCGAUCGAGUUUGUACAAAACGCAAUAUGUUGUCCACUAUCGCCCGCUUAUGGGACAUUUUAGGUCUUGUAGGACCGGUGAUUGUUACCGCGAAAAUUCUAAUAAAGGAGUUGUGCUCGCUCAAGCUCGACUGGGACGACACUCCACCCGACUACAUAGUCCACGCGUGGGAUCGUUUCCAACUGGAGUUACCGCUUCUUUCUAAUUUCAAUUUCCCGCGACAUUUAAAUGUAUUUUCGCAUAGUGAUGUGGUUAUUGUAGGAUUUAGCGAUGCAAGUGAGAAGGCGUACGGGGCUUCUGUUUAUUUACAUGUUGACAACAAUGGUACUCGCUCCACCACCUUGGUGUGUGCGAAGUCAAAAGUGACCCCAAGUAAUCAUGUAGUCACCAUGCCGCGACUUGAGCUGAUGGCAGCGUUACUUCUCGCGAAACUUAUCCGAUCUGUUGUUGAUACCUACUCAACCCGCUGUCAUAUUAGAAAUAUUUACGCGUUUUCGGAUUCAACCAUUGCCUUGCAUUGGAUUAAUUCAUCCCCGCACAGAUUACAGACCUUUGUCGCGAAUAGAGUGUCUAAAAUCAUCGCUUUGUUACCCGCGAAACACUUUUGUCAUAUACCGGGAGUGACAAAUCCUAGUGAUUGUUUAUCUCGCGGCUUGUUGCCUUCGCAACUUAUAAAUCAUUCGCUUUGGUUUACGGGCCCUUCUUGGAUGUCAAUGGACGAGAAGGACUGGCCCAUAACACCGUUCAAGCCGGACGCUUCAGUCGACGUUCCUGAGACGAAAGUGAUUUCUCUCACAUCUACUACCGCGGUAGAUGAAACUCCACUGCUGUGUCAACUCGCCGCCCGCUGUUCCUCUUGGACUAAACUUUUAAGAACGACUGUUUAUAUUUACCGCUUUUUACAUGUUUUACCCCGCUCUGACUUUAUUUCCGCAACGGAUUUAAACUUCGCUGAAAAUAAAAUUUUAUCCGCUUUGCAAUCCGCUCAUUUUAAAGACGAACUUAAAAACAUAACCGCUAGUAAACGCUGUCAAAAGAAAAUUCAAAAGCUCAGUCCUUUCAUUUCACACGGCCUUAUCCGUGUCGGAGGCCGCUUGAAAAACUCGCACCUUUCUUUCGAUCAACAACAUCCCAUUUUAUUACCACGGAAAGAUCACAUAGUUGAUCUAAUUGUCGAUCAUUAUCAUCGCAAGCACUGUCACGCCGGCCCGAACUUGUUGUACAGUUUACUUAGACAGCAGUAUUGGAUUAUCACCGGGCGCCGCACUAUUCGUACACGGAUAGACAAAUGUAACUUUUGUUUCCGCACUCGUCCAAAACCCACGUUUCCUAUUAUGUCCGAUUUACCAUCUGUCCGCACUCAGGUGGUUCCGAAGGCUUUCAUACAUACAGGAUGUGACUAUGCCGGACCGCUAAGUAUUACGCUAAAGCGUGGACGUGGUAUACACAGUCAAAAAGCGUACAUUUGUCUGUUUGUGUGCAUGACCACCCGCGCGAUUCAUAUAGAAUUAGCAUCCGAUCUAAGUACCGCUACUUUUAUCGCUGCAUUCAAACGUUUUCUUUCCCGCCGUGGUCCCAUUUCAGUUUUACAUUCGGACAAUGGUACCAAUUUUGUUGGUGCAAAAUCAUUUUGUACCGAACUUUUUAACUUUAUAACUUCAGAUAGUUACCGCCGCGCUUUAGUUUACGAACUUUCCGAUUAUAAAAUCGAAUUUAAAAAUAUUCCACCGAAUUCACCGCACUUUGGUUCUUGGGAACCUCUAAUUAAAACGGUUAAAACGCACCUGUUUAGGGUGAUAGGAUCACAAAUCCUCACUCUAGAGGAAAUGAACACUGUCUUGUGUCAAAUAGAAAACAUUGUUAACUCGCGCCCACUAUGUAGUACAUUGUCACAAGAUCCAAGUGAACCGCUCGCUAUAACUCCCGCGCAUUUCUUAACACUAACCCCGCUUAAGUUUUUACCAGCGGCCCCAGUCGACGACAAGCCUUUGCAUCUAUUAGACAGAUAUCAGCUGUUAGACAAACUAGUUCAGUCUUUUUGGGACAAGUGGUCCCUAGAAUAUUUAAACACGCUUCAAUCGCGACAGAAAUGGAAUUUUCCUGUUUCCAAUAUUAAACUUGGUACUGUCGUUCUUGUCAUUCAAGACAACAAGGUUCCGCCUUUGCAGUGGGAGUUAGGCAUUGUUACCGAUGUACAUCCUGGUAAAGAUAAUGUUAUCAGGGUUGCUACAAUUAAAACUUCUAAGGGUAGUUUCAAACGGCCGAUUGUUAGGUUGUGCCCUUUACCCACACAGUAGUUUUAGUUUAUUUUUUAUUACCGCAGACACUUAUGCUGCGUUUAGGAUAGUAGUUAUAAGUGUUUCUUAUUUUAUUUUUAUUUUAUUUUCGCAUUCGCGUUUUUUACGCUAAUUCUCUUUGAAAGUUCACCCUUUCAAGGCGGGGUGUGUAGUAACGCCCAUUAUUAGCGUUAGUUAUUUUUAACGUUAUCGCAUUAUUUUUUACCUGUGGUAUCAUUACUGCAGCGCCCUCUGGCGAGCCACUUAACUUUUGGUUGCCAAUUUUCAAAAUGGCUACAAUCCGCGCCUUCUAACUUCUCCGCACCCCGCAAUUUUGUUUUUGUUUAAACCGCUGACGUUAUUCAACCCCCUUGUGCCACAAACACACCUAUUGUACACACAACAACUCAAAAAUACAUCAUAACACUUCAAACAUUCGAAAAGUGUAUUAUAUUCCCGCCUAGCCUACGCUCAACGGCCACCAGGGGAAGCUGGUGCCCGGCG
rnacentral:misc_RNA from 1 species